ACCUGGCUGGCUCAGUCGGUAGAGCAUGUGAUUCUUAAUCUCAGGGUUGUAAGUUCUAGCCCCAUGUUGGGUG
rnacentral:tRNA from 1 species